CAACAGUUGGAAACGACUGCUAAUACCGCAUAAUGUAUCCGGGAGGCAUCUCCUGGAUACCAAAGGAGAAAUCCGCUGAUGGAUGGGCUCACGUCUGAUUAGCUAGUUGGUGAGGUAACGGCUCACCAAGGCUGCGAUCAGUAGCCGGACUGAGAGGUUGAACGGCCACAUUGGGACUGAGAUACGGCCCAGACUCCUACGGGAGGCAGCAGUGGGGAAUAUUGGGCAAUGGGCGAAAGCCUGACCCAGCAACGCCGCGUGAAGGAAGAAGGCCUUCGGGUUGUAAACUUCUUUUAAGAGGGACGAAGAAGUGACGGUACCUCUUGAAUAAGCCACGGCUAACUACGUGCCAGCAGCCGCGGUAAUACGUAGGUGGCGAGCGUUAUCCGGAUUUACUGGGUGUAAAGGGCGCGUAGGCGGGAAUGCAAGUCAGAUGUGAAAUCCAAGGGCUCAACCCUUGAACUGCAUUUGAAACUGUAUUUCUUGAGUGUCGGAGAGGUUGACGGAAUUCCUAGUGUAGCGGUGAAAUGCGUAGAUAUUAGGAGGAACACCAGUGGCGAAGGCGGUCAACUGGACGAUAACUGACGCUGAGGCGCGAAAGCGUGGGGAGCAAACAGGAUUAGAUACCCUGGUAGUCCACGCCGU
rnacentral:rRNA from 1 species